rnacentral:rRNA from 1 species
UUGGUGACCAGCGGAGGGAUCAUUACCGAGUUUACAACUCCCAAACCCCAAUGUGAACGUUACCAAUCUGUUGCCUCGGCGGGAUUCUCUGCCCCGGGCGCGUCGCAGCCCCGGAUCCCAUGGCGCCCGCCGGAGGACCAACUCAAACUCUUUUUUCUCUCCGUCGCGGCUUCCGUCGCGGCUCUGUUUUACCUUUGCUCUGAGCCUUUCUCGGCGACCCUAGCGGGCGUCUCGAAAAUGAAUCAAAACUUUCAACAACGGAUCUCUUGGUUCUGGCAUCGAUGAAGAACGCAGCGAAAUGCGAUAAGUAAUGUGAAUUGCAGAAUUCAGUGAAUCAUCGAAUCUUUGAACGCACAUUGCGCCCGCCAGUAUUCUGGCGGGCAUGCCUGUCCGAGCGUCAUUUCAACCCUCGAACCCCUCCGGGGGGUCGGCGUUGGGGAUCGGCCCCUCACCGGGCCGCCCCCGAAAUACAGUGGCGGUCUCGCCGCAGCCUCUCCUGCGCAGUAGUUUGCACACUCGCACCGGGAGCGCGGCGCGGCCACAGCCGUAAAACACCCCAAACUCUGAAAUGUUGACCUCGGAUCAGGUAGGAAUACCCGCUGAACUUAAGCAUAUCAA